GACGACGCUGGGCGGCGCGCCUACACAUGCAAAGUCGAACGGAUUUUUCAAUGGAGCUUGCUCCAGGGAGAUCCAGUGGCGGACGGGUGAGUAACACGUGAGCAACCUGCCUUAGAGUGGGGGAUAACGUUUGGAAACGAACGCUAAUACCGCAUAACAUCACGGGAUGGCAUCAUUUCGUGAUCAAAGGAGCAAUCCGCUUUGAGAUAGGCUCGCGCCCCAUUAGAUAGUUGGUGAGGUAACGGCUCACCAAGUCAGCGAUGGGUAGCCGAGCUGAGAGGCUGAACGGCCACACUGGAACUGAGACACGGUCCAGACUCCUACGGGAGGCAGCAGUGGGGAAUAUUGGGCAAUGGGCGCAAGCCUGACCCAGCAACGCCGCGUGAGGGAAGAAGGCCUUCGGGUUGUAAAACUCUGUCGCAGGGGAAGAAAGAAAUGACGGUACCCUGUGAGGAAGCCCCGGCUGACUACGUGCCAGCAGCCGCGGUAAUACGUAGGGGGCGAGCGUUGUCCGGAAUUACUGGGCGUAAAGGGUGCGUAGGCGGCAAUUUAAGUUGGAUGUGAAAUACCCGGGCUUAACCUGGGGGGUGCAUCCAAAACUGGAGAGCUAGAGUGCAGGAGAGGGAAGCGGAAUUCCUAGUGUAGCGGUGAAAUGCGUAGAUAUUAGGAGGAACACCAGUGGCGAAGGCGGCUUUCUGGACUGUAACUGACGCUGAGGCACGAAAGCGUGGGGAGCAAACAGGAUUAGAUACCCUGGUAGUCCACGCUGUAAACGAUGAAUACUUAGGUGUAGGGGUAUGAACUUCCCCUUGUGCCGCAGCUAACGCAAUAAGUAUUCCGCCUGGGGAGUCCGGCCGCAAGGUUG
rnacentral:rRNA from 1 species